rnacentral:rRNA from 1 species
CUACACGGGUUUCUAAUCCUGUUUGCUACCCACGCUUUCGCACCUCAGUGUCAGUGUCAGUCCAGAAGGCCGCCUUCGCCACUGGUAUUCCUCCCGAUCUCUACGCAUUUCACCGCUACACCGGGAAUUCCACCUUCCUCUCCUGCACUCUAGCCUGACCGUUCCGGAUGCCGUUCCCAGGUUGAGCCCGGGGCUUUCACAACCGGCGUGUCAGGCCACCUACGCGCGCUUUACGCCCAGUAAUUCCGAUUAACGCUUGCACCCUCCGUAUUACCGCGGCUGCUGGCAC